rnacentral:rRNA from 1 species
UACGUAGGGUGCGAGCGUUGUCCGGAAUUAUUGGGCGUAAAGAGCUUGUAGGCGGUCUGUCGCGUCUGCUGUGAAAAUCCGGGGCUCAACCCCGGACUUGCAGUGGGUACGGGCAGACUAGAGUGUGGUAGGGGAGACUGGAAUUCCUGGUGUAGCGGUGAAAUGCGUAGAUAUCUGGAGGAACACCGGUGGCGAAGGCGGCAGCCUGGACCGAUACUGACGCUGAGGAGCGAAAGCCAGGGGAGCAAACGGG